GAUAUUCUUGGGGGAAUAACCGAGAUCUCUCAAACUCAAAUCAAUGCUGAUAACAACAAGAGCAAAGUUGUUUUUUCAAUUACUGAUAAUAGCAAAACUGAAGUGCAAUGUACUUUGUGGGGUCAACUUGCACUACAACUUCACGAGUAUUAUACAACUCAUAAGGAAGUAGGCAAUAUUGUUGUCCUGCUCAUUAAUGCAAGAAUUAAGGAGGCUCAAGGAGGGUUUCCUUUGAACAUAUCAAACGCUUGGAACGGGACCAAGUUGGUGAUAAAUGACUUUACCAUUGAUGAAGUUAGCAAACUCAAUGAGAG